rnacentral:rRNA from 1 species
GAUGAACGCUGGCGGCGUGCCUAAUACAUGCAAGUCGAGCGAACGGACGAGAAGCUUGCUUCUCUGAUGUUAGCGGCGGACGGGUGAGUAACACGUGGAUAACCUACCUAUAAGACUGGGAUAACUUCGGGAAACCGGAGCUAAUACCGGAUAAUAUUUUGAACCGCAUGGUUCAAAAGUGAAAGACGGUCUUGCUGUCACUUAUAGAUGGAUCCGCGCUGCAUUAGCUAGUUGGUAAGGUAACGGCUUACCAAGGCAACGAUGCAUAGCCGACCUGAGAGGGUGAUCGGCCACACUGGAACUGAGACACGGUCCAUGCUCCUACGGGAGGCAGCAGUAGGGAAUCUUCCGCAAUGGGCGAAAGCCUGACGGAGCAACGCCGCGUGAGUGAUGAAGGUCUUCGGAUCGUAAAACUCUGUUAUUAGGGAAGAACAUAUGUGUAAGUAACUGUGCACAUCUUGACGGUACCUAAUCAGAAAGCCACGGCUAACUACGUG